AACGAACGCUGGCGGCAGGCUUAACACAUGCAAGUCGAGCGCCCGCAAGGGAGCGGCAGACGGGUGAGUAACGCGUGGGAAUCUACCUAGUUCUACGGAACAACACAGGGAAACUUGUGCUAAUACCGUAUACGCCCUACGGGGGAAAGAUUUAUCGGAAUUAGAUGAGCCCGCGUUGGAUUAGCUAGUUGGUGGGGUAAUGGCCUACCAAGGCGAAGAUCCAUAGCUAGUCUGAGAGGAGGAUCAGCCACACUGGGACUGAUACACGGCCCAGACUCCUACGGGAGGCAGCAGUGGGGAAUAUUGGACAAUGGGCGAAAGCCUGAUCCAGCCAUGCCGCGUGAGUGAUGAAGGCCUUAGGGUUGUAAAGCUCUUUCAGUAGGGAAGAUAAUGACGGUACCUACAGAAGAAGCCCCGGCUAACUUCGUGCCAGCAGCCGCCGUAA
rnacentral:rRNA from 1 species